rnacentral:rRNA from 1 species
GAUGAACGCUGGCGGCGUGCUUAACACAUGCAAGUCGAACGAUGAAGCCCAGCUUGCUGGGUUGAUUAGUGGCGAACGGGUGAGUAACACGUGAGUAACCUGCCCUUGACUCUGGGAUAAGCCUGGGAAACUUGGUCUAAUACUUGAUAUGUCUUCUCAUCGCAUGGUGGGUGGUGGAAUGAUUUAUUGGUCUUGGAUGGACUCUCGGCCUAUCCGCUUGUUGGUGAGUUAAUGGCUCACCAAGGCGACGACGGGUAGCCGGCCUGAGAGGGUGACCGGCCACACUGGGACUGAGAGACGGCCAAGACUCCUACGGGAGGCAGCAGGGGGGAAUAUUGCACAAUGGGCGCAAGCCUGAUGCAGAGACGCCGCGUGAGGGAUGACGGACUUCGGGUUGUAAACCUCUUUCAGUAGGGAAAAAGCGAGAGUGACGGUACAUGCAGAAGAAGCGCCGGCUAACUACGUG